CAGCCGCCGCGGGAAUACGUAGGGCGCAAGCGUUAUCCGGAAUUAUUGGGCGUAAAGAGCUCGUAGGCGGUUUGUCGCGUCUGCCGUGAAAGUCCGGGGCUCAACCCCGGAUCUGCGGUGGGUACGGGCAGACUAGAGUGAUGUAGGGGAGACUGGAAUUCCUGGUGUAGCGGUGAAAUGCGCAGAUAUCAGGAGGAACACCGAUGGCGAAGGCAGGUCUCUGGGCAUUAACUGACGCUGAGGAGCGAAAGCAUGGGGAGCGAACAGGAUUAGAGACCCCCGUAGUCCCUGUCUCUUAUAC
rnacentral:rRNA from 1 species